AACGAACGCUGGCGGCAUGCCUAACACAUGCAAGUCGAACGAGACCUUCGGGUCUAGUGGCGCACGGGUGCGUAACGCGUGGGAACUUGCCCUUAGGUUCGGAAUCACUCCCCGAAAGGGGUGCUAAUACCGGAUAAUGUCUUAGGACCAAAGAUUUAUCGCCUUUGGAUGGGCCCGCGUUGGAUUGGCCAGUUGGUAGGGUACAAGCCUACCAAGGCGACGAUCCAUAGCUGGUCUGAGAGGAUGAUCAGCCACACUGGGACUGAGACACGGCCCAGACUCCUACGGGAGGCAGCAGUGGGGAAUAUUGGACAAUGAGCGAAAGCCUGAUCCAGCAAUGCCGCGUGAGUGAUGAAGGCCUUAGGGUUGUAAAGCUCUUUUACCCGGGAUGAUAAUGACAGUACCGGGAGAAUAAGCGCCGGCUAACUCCGUG
rnacentral:rRNA from 1 species